rnacentral:rRNA from 1 species
UACGUAGGGCGCGAGCGUUGUCCGGAGUUAUUGGGCGUAAAGAGCUCGUAGGCGGCCUGUCGCGUCGGUUGUGAAAGCUCGGGGCUCAACCCCGGGUCUGCAGUCGAUACGGGCAGGCUAGAGUUCGGUAGGGGAGAUCGGAAUUCCUGGUGUAGCGGUGAAAUGCGCAGAUAUCAGGAGGAACACCGGUGGCGAAGGCGGAUCUCUGGGCCGAUACUGACGCUGAGGAGCGAAAGCGUGGGGAGCGAACAGG